UUUAAUGAUUAGUUGGAAAGAAUGGCUCAAGUGUCCUUAACUAAUGUUUGGUAUUCGUUGGCGUAUUUGUAGACCUUGGGGAGCCCGAGGCGUAGAUUGGAAAUUUACUUUAGAUUGGCUAUUUUGGAAGUGCGUAAGAGGUACAGACGCACAGCCUGGUGAUCCACCUGUUUAGGACACCCUUUCUGCUAUUCGGAGUGCUCCUCUCUUUCCGGAGCUUAUACUUUUGGUAUAUAUAUUUUUAUUAGUGCAUUUGUAUAUAUUCGUUCAUGGGUACGGCGGGGGCCCUGUCCCGUCAUAUGAUUCUGUCGGUCUGUUUAGAGGUCUGUGGACAUGUUUGUGGGUUAGGGUCUU